rnacentral:rRNA from 1 species
AGGGUUAUAUCAUCCUCUUAUACGAGAGUGAAGUAUAAACCCCUUUACGAGUAUCAAUUGGAGGGCAAGUCUGGUGCCAGCAGCCGCGGUAAUUCCAGCUCCAAUAGCGUAUAUUAAAGUUGUUGCAGUUAAAAAGCUCGUAGUUGAAUUUCUGCCAUUGGCUACCUGCACAUAUGUGUUAGUGUACCCGGGGGGCUUAGCUUCUAACCUUUCCUAACGGACCGGUUUAAAUACUUUAGAGAAAUUAGAGUCGUUCCGAANAAAUUGCCUUUGAAUACUCCAGCAUGGAAUAAUAUUAAAGAACUUUUGUGCCUAUUUGUUGGUUCUAGANCNAANUAAUGAUUAAUAGGGACAGUUGGGGGCAUUUGUAUUUGACAGNCNGAGGUGAAAUUCUUAGAUUUGUUAAAGACAAACUAAUGCGAAAGCAUUUGCCAAGGAUGUUUUCAUUAAUCAAGAACGAAAGUUAGGGGAUCGAAGACGAUCAGAUACCGUCGUAGUCUUAACCAUAAACUAUGCCAACUAGAGAU